UGCACAGAUGACCUCAGGGCCAGAUGGU
rnacentral:piRNA from 1 species